GAUCAUUAGCGCGCAGGCCGGAGGCUGGCCCCCCACGAUAGGGCCAAACGUCCGUCAGGGGUGAGCAGAUGUGCGCCGGCCGUACCGCCCCAUUCUUGUCUACAUUACUCGGUUGCCUCGGCGGGCCGCGCUCUCCCAGGAGAGCCGUUCGGCGAGCCUCUCUUUAGUGGCUAAACGCUGGACCGCGCCCGCCGGAGGACAGACGCAAAAAAAUUCUUUCAGAAGAGCUGUCAGUCUGAGCGUUAGCAAGCAAAAAUCAGUUAAAACUUUCAACAACGGAUCUCUUGGUUCCGGCAUCGAUGAAGAACGCAGCGAAAUGCGAUAAGUAAUGUGAAUUGCAGAAUUCCGUGAAUCAUCGAAUCUUUGAACGCACAUUGCGCCCCCUGGCAUUCCGGGGGGCAUGCCUGUUCGAGCGUCAUUUCAGCCCCUCAAGCCCGGCUUGUGUGAUGGACGACCGUCCGGCGCCCCCGUCUUUGGGGGUGCGGGACGCGCCCGAAAAGCAGUGGCCAGGCCGCGAUUCCGGCUUCCUAGGCGAAUGGGCAACAAACCAGCGCCUCCAGGACCGGCCGCCCUGGCCUCAAAAUCUGUUUUAUACUUAUCAGGUUGACCUCGGAUCAGGUAGGGAUACC
rnacentral:misc_RNA from 1 species